UUAUGUCCAAAGAUUGGGCAGCGUCCUAAGAUUGGGCAGAACAUUGCGACCAGCGAUAAGUAUGACAAGAAGAAGAAGACAAAAAAUAGAAGAUUUGUAUUGUGGAUUGGGAAAAGAUCCAGAUGAUUUGGUCAUUAAGUAUAUCAAUCCAUUCAUUGGUUCUGGUGUAUUUACUACAAAAGAUCUGCAUAAAGGUGAUUUCAUUCUGGAAUAUGCAGGGGAAAGAAUAUCCAAUGAUGAGGCUGAUAAAAGGGAAGCAGAGUAUGCUAAAAACGGAACUGGGUGUUACAUUUAUUUCAAUAUAAUAAGUUCCAACAAUACAACAUUCUGUAUUGAUGCAACAAAUUCUGUGCAGAUUGGAAGAAUUGUGAAUGAUGCACCUACUAAGUAUGCUAAUUGUGUGAUGAAGAAAUACACAAAUAAAAAAAUGGAAGUCUUUAUAGCGUUGUAUGCGUUAGUAGAUAUAAAACAAGACACCGAGUUAAGAUAUGAUUAUGGAGAAAAUCCAGAUGAUAUGCCCUGGCGCAAAAAGGCUGAAUGUCUCAAACCAUUGAACAUCAAUGAAGUUGUGGAAAAAACACCAAAAGGUAGUAAAAUAACUAAAGAAAUGACUAAGGAACAGAGAGAUGCAAAGAUAACAGAAUUUCCAUCAGAUUUCAAAAAUUCUACUAAUAAGACUCACUUUCUCAAACCAUUGAACAUCAAUAAAGUUGUGCAAAAAUUAUCAAAACGUACCGAAAGUGGUACAGAAGAUCUUGAACAGAGAGAUGUAAAGAUAACAGAAUUUCCAUCAGAUUGUAAAAUGUCUAUUGAUGAGACUCACUUUCUCAAACCAUUGACCGUUAAUAAAGUGGUGCCAAAAUUACCAAAGAUUACCCAAAAAACAAAAGCCAUGUGCGCCAGUAAACGAGCGCACAAAGACGUGAAGAUAACAGAAUUUUCAUCAAAUUUCGAGAAGUCUACUGAUGAGCCGGAUUUUCAUAUUGUUUACCAAGUGCAAAAUUCUGUAAUUGAAUUGGAUCCAGGCACUGGUGACCAGGUUGCUAUGUCAGAUAAUGAUGCUGAUAUUGAUAAAAACGAUGAAGUUUUGAACGGAUGUCUUUGUAAACAGAUUCCGCUUCAUCUAAAUAUGGUUUGCGUCUGAAAGAAGCUUUACACAUCAGAUGGGAGAAAACAGUCCUCAACAAACAGGUUAGGAGCCUGGUUACUACAAUUUGUGUGUAAACAGGCACUAGGAAUAUAUGUUGGUAUUGUUAAAGGCUGUGGAAUGUCAAAGAGACUAAUCGAGAAAUACAUCGACUCUGUUGUUUAGAAGUGUUAAUUAAGGGUGAUGAAUAUCUGAAAUGAACAUUAUCACGCAAAAAAGAGUGACAUCAAGAAAUCAAACCAAGUCCACGAACCAGAACUUCAUACGAAACUCUUCAAUUCAAUUGGGAAUGAACAGACACUUUUUGGAGCAUCAAUGUAGCUGACAAAAUGCAUUACUACGUAUUGAUUUGGAACGAAUACGAAAUUCAAAAAGAACAUUGUUGAUGGAGCAAUCGCCUAGAAGUACGAAUUUCGAUACAUUUCGAUACAACUGAUAGCUCGUAAUGUUCAUUUGCAACUUAUAGAAGUGCGAAUUUCGAUACAACUGAUAGCUCGUAAUGUUCAUUCGCAACGUACAGAAGUGAAAAUUUCGAUACAACUGAUAGCUCGUAAUGUUCAUUCGCAACGUAUAGAGUUGCGAACUUCGAUACAACUGAUAGCUCGUAAUAUUCAUUCGCAACGUAUAUAAGUGCGAAUUUCUGUAAAACUGAUAGCUCGUAAUGUACGUUCGCAACGCAUAGAAGAAGUACGAACUUCGAUACGAUUGAUAGGUCGUAAUACUAUUUCAUCCCUAAUCUCAGCUCGAAAAAAACACAACAACUUCUUUCACGAAAUGUUCAGUAGAAGAUAAAGAUGAUGCUUCCGGAAUUAAAAAAUCGACCCGUGGAGACCAUUGACUUUAUUUUACAUUUGUGAAUAUAUAAUAUACAUACACUUCAUUUGAACUGUGUCGUUUUGAGUAACUGAUUGCCCCUUGCAAAUUGCUUUGCCAAUUGCGAGAGAACCUAAACGAUUUUAUAUUAACAAGUGUGAAUAAUUACAGGAAAAACCUAAGAAUAUGAAAGUCUUUUGCCCGCAAACGUGGGAAUAAACUUU